UUUCCAGGCAAAUCCGGAAAAUCAAGGCUGAGGCGUGAUGACGAGGCACUACGGUGCUGAAGCGACAAAUGCCCUGCUUCCAGGAAAAGCCUCUAAGCAUCAGGUAACAUCAAAUCGUACCCCAAACCGACACAGGUGGUCAGGUAGAGAAUACCAAGGCGCUUGAGAGAACUCGGGUGAAGGAACUAGGCAAAAUGGUGCCGUAACUUCGGGAGAAGGCACGCUGAUAUGUAGGUGAAGCGACUUGCUCGUGGAGCUGAAAUCAGUCGAAGAUACCAGCUGGCUGCAACUGUUUAUUAAAAACACAGCACUGUGCAAACACGAAAGUGGACGUAUACGGUGUGACGCCUGCCCGGUGCCGGAAGGUUAAUUGAUGGGGUUAGCGGUAACGCGAAGCUCUUGAUCGAAGCCCCGGUAAACGGCGGCCGUAACUAUAACGGUCCUAAGGUAGCGAAAUUCCUUGUCGGGUAAGUUCCGACCUGCACGAAUGGCGUAAUGAUGGCCAGGCUGUCUCCACCCGAGACUCAGUGAAAUUGAACUCGCUGUGAAGAUGCAGUGUACCCGCGGCAAGACGGAAAGACCCCGUGAACCUUUACUAUAGCUUGACACUGAACAUUGAGCCUUGAUGUGUAGGAUAGGUGGGAGGCUUUGAAGUGUGGACGCCAGUCUGCAUGGAGCCGACCUUGAAAUACCACCCUUUAAUGUUUGAUGUUCUAACGUGGGCCCCUUACCGGGGUUGCGGACAGUGUCUGGUGGGUAGUUUGACUGGGGCGGUCUCCUCCUAAAGAGUAACGGAGGAGCACGAAGGUUGGCUAAUCCUGGUCGGACAUCAGGAGGUUAGUGCAAUGGCAUAAGCCAGCUUGACUGCGAGCGUGACGGCGCGAGCAGGUGCGAAAGCAGGUCAUAGUGAUCCGGUGGUUCUGAAUGGAAGGGCCAUCGCUCAACGGAUAAAAGGUACUCCGGGGAUAACAGGCUGAUACCGCCCAAGAGUUCAUAUCGACGGCGGUGUUUGGCACCUCGAUGUCGGCUCAUCACAUCCUGGGGCUGAAGUAGGUCCCAAGGGUAUGGCUGUUCGCCAUUUAAAGUGGUACGCGAGCUGGGUUUAGAACGUCGUGAGACAGUUCGGUCCCUAUCUGCCGUGGGCGCUGGAGAACUGAGGGGGGCUGCUCCUAGUACGAGAGGACCGGAGUGGACGCAUCACUGGUGUUCGGGUUGUCAUGCCAAUGGCACUGCCCGGUAGCUAAAUGCGGAAGAGAUAAGUGCUGAAAGCAUCUAAGCACGAAACUUGCCCCGAGAUGAGUUCUCCCUGACUCCUUGAGAGUCCUGAAGGAACGUUGAAGACGACGACGUUGAUAGGCCGGGUGUGUAAGCGCAGCGAUGCGUUGAGCUAACCGGUACUAAUGAACCGUGAGGCUUAACCUU
rnacentral:rRNA from 1 species